AAGAAAGUGGUAGAUUGGUUAUACAGUUGACUUGAAAUUAACUUAGGGGGGUUCGACUCCUUCCUUUUCUUG
rnacentral:tRNA from 1 species